GAUGAACGCUAGCGGCAGGCUUAAUACAUGCAAGUCAAGGGGGUAGCAAUACAACCGGCGCACGGGUGAGUAACGCGUACACAACAUGCCAUAUACUGGGGUAUAGCUUCGGGAAACUGAAGGUAAUCCCCCAUAACAUUGCGAAUAGGCAUCUAAUUGCAAUUAAAGUUCCGACGGUAUAUGAUUGGUGUGCGUUUGAUUAGGUAGUUGGCGGGGUAACGGCCCACCAAGCCGACGAUCAAUAGCUGGCGUGAGAGCGCGACCAGCCACACUGGAACUGAGACACGGUCCAGACUCCUACGGAGGCAGCAGUAGGGAAUAUUGGACAAUGGAGGAAACUCUGAUCCAGCCAUGCCGCGUGAUAGA
rnacentral:rRNA from 1 species